GAUUGUUGCAAUGAUUGCAGAACAUUGUGCUGUUGAGCAAAGACUUCACAAUAUUGUCAAUGAUGUCUUGGCUCGGCAUUCAAAUCAAUCUGAGCCCCAAGCUGUUUCGUUGCGGGAACGAGACACAGACCCAAAUCAAAUUACCACAAGGACAAUAAAUACAGAAACAGAAGCCAGAGAAGCUGUUUCGUUGCGGGAACAAGACACAGACCAAAAUCAAAUGACCACAAUGCCAUUAAAUAUAGAAAUAGAAGCCAGAGGAGACAUGUUGUCAACAAACACAUUGGGUUGCUUCUCGCAAAGCAAUACUGAUGAAAUUACAGAUGAGCAGAUUCUGGAGAUCCUUGACCCAGACAGAGGGACCGAUGAUACAAUGGAUGAUUCAAUGUACAGAACAACAGCUGCAGACA
ensembl:lncRNA